CGACUGCUAAUACCCGAUGUGCCGAAAGGUGAAAGAUUUAUCGCCUAGGGAAGGGCUCGCGGCUGAUUAGCUAGUUGGUAAGGUAAAGGCUUACCAAGGCGACGAUCAGUAGCUGGUCUGAGAGGAUGAGCAGCCACACUGGGACUGAGACACGGCCCAGACUCCUACGGGAGGCAGCAGCGGGGAAUUUUCCGCAAUGGGCGAAAGCCUGACGGAGCAAUACCGCGUGUGGGAGGAAGGCUCUUGGGUUGUAAACCACUUUUCUCAGGGAAGAAUAGAUGACGGUACCUGAGGAAUAAGCAUCGGCUAACUCCGUGCCAGCAGCCGCGGUAAUACGGAGGAUGCGAGCGUUAUCCGGAAUCAUUGGGCGUAAAGCGUCCGCAGGUGGCCUAUCAAGUCUGCUGUCAAAGCGCAGAGCUCAACUCUGUAAAGGCGGUGGAAACUGGUAAGCUAGAGUACGGUAGGGGUAGCGGGAAUUCCCAGUGUAGCGGUGAAAUGCGUAGAUAUUGGGAAGAACAUCGGUGGCGAAGGCGCGCUACUGGGCCGAAGCUGACACUGAGGGACGAAAGCUAGGGGAGCGAAAGGGAUUAGAUACCCCUGUAGUCCUAGCCGUAAACGAUGGAAACUAGGCGUGGCUUGUAUCGACCCGAGCCGUGCCGAAGCUAACGCGUUAAGUUUCCCGCCUGGGGAGUACGCACGCAAGUGUGAAACUCAAAGGAAUUGACGGGGGCCCGCACAAGCGGUGGAGUAUGUGGUUUAAUUCGAUGCAACGCGAAGAACCUUACCAAGGCUUGACAUGUCGCGAAUCCUGGCGAAAGCUAGGAGUGCCUUAGGGAGCGCGAACACAGGUGGUGCAUGGCUGUCGUCGGCUCGUGUCGUGAGAUGUUGGGUUAAGUCCCGCAACGAGCGCAACCCUCGUUUUUAGUUGCCAGCAUUAAGUUGGGCACUCUAGAGAGACUGCCGGUGACAAACCGGAGGAAGGUGGGGAUGACGUCAAGUCAGCAUGCCCCUUACGUCUUGGGCAACACACGUACUACAAUGGUCGGGACAAAGAGCAGCGACCUCGCGAGAGUAAGCGAAUCUCAACAAACCCGGCCUCAGUUCAGAUUGCAGGCUGCAACUCGCCUGCAUGAAGGAGGAAUCGCUAGUAAUCGCAGGUCAGCAUACUGCGGUGAAUUCGUUCCCGGGCCUUGUACACACCGCCCGUCACACCAUGGAAGCUGGCCACACCCGAAGUCGUUACCCUAACCUUUCGAGGAGGGGGACGCCGAAGGUAGGGCUGGUGACUG
rnacentral:rRNA from 1 species